GAUGAACGCUGGCGGCGUGCCUAAUACAUGCAAGUCGAGCGAACAGACGAGGAGCUUGCUCCUUUGACGUUAGCGGCGGACGGGUGAGUAACACGUAGGUAACCUACCUAUAAGACUGGGAUAACUUCGGGAAACCGGAGCUAAUACCGGAUAAUAUUUCGAACCGCAUGGUUCGAUAGUGAAAGAUGGCUUUGCUAUCACUUAUAGAUGGACCUGCGCCGUAUUAGCUAGUUGGUAAGGUAACGGCUUACCAAGGCAACGAUACGUAGCCGACCUGAGAGGGUGAUCGGCCACACUGGAACUGAGACACGGUCCAGACUCCUACGGGAGGCAGCAGUAGGGAAUCUUCCGCAAUGGGCGAAAGCCUGACGGAGCAACGCCGCGUGAGUGAUGAAGGUCUUCGGAUCGUAAAACUCUGCUAUUAGGGAAGAACAAACGUGUAAGUAACUGUGCACGUCUUGACGGUACCUAAUCAGAAAGCCACGGCUAACUACGUG
rnacentral:rRNA from 1 species